rnacentral:rRNA from 1 species
CACGUAGGGCGCGAGCGUUGUCCGGAAUUAUUGGGCGUAAAGAGCUCGUAGGCGGCCUGUUGCGUCCGCUGUGAAAGCCCGGGGCUUAACCCCGGGUCUGCAGUGGAUACGGGCAGGCUAGAGGUAGGUAGGGGAGAAUGGAAUUCCUGGUGUAGCGGUGGAAUGCGCAGAUAUCAGGAGGAACACCGAUGGCGAAGGCAGGUCACUGGGCCGCAACUGACGCUGAGGAGCGAAAGCAUGGGGAGCGAACAGG